rnacentral:lncRNA from 1 species
CACCCAAUUUUAUUAUAACCCCAAUUAUUUAUUACAAAUUAUUACAAACCAAGGUAGUUGAAAUACAGUAAUGAAAAAUAAAAUAAGAAGUUAUUCUAUAGGGAGCCUUCAACCAGGUUCAAUCUUCUAACCUAACUUCUUUCGAGUUUUACAGCCCCUUACCAUGGUUUGGGUGCAGCAACGCUCCCUAAGGGCCCAAUCGGGUUCCUUAGCCAAUACCAAUCGCCCAAACAAUAUCAGACAUUGAAAAAAUGCAGUAUGGAAUUACCUGGCUUAUAUAUCAAAGUUCAGUGAGCACUCACAAAGUGAUCAAAGCAAUACUUACACGAACAGGGUAGAACAUAAACUCUAGGAGUAGUGAGUGUGAUAGAGUUUUUUUUUUUAUAAAAGAAAGAAAUUGAGUUGAAAACAAUUUUACAAAAAUAACUCUCAUGGAAACAGUUUUGAAUGAAAAACAACAUAAUAGUAUGAGAAUGAGAUUCAAUUGAAAACAACUUAGGAGAAUGCUUCACACAAAAUCAAUUUUUAAAGGAAACAGCAGAAGAGAUAACUCUUGCAAGAAGGUGAGCAAGACCAAAUUCAUACAUAAAAUGCAAAACAUAAGCACAGGUAGGGUACAUGGGACAUAGGGACAAGUAGCUCAUAUGUAGGAAUACAAUUGCACAUACACAAACAUCAAAGAAAGCAUUUUAGAACAUAGACAAUCACACCAAGUUCCAACUAAAAGGGGGCAGGACAACAUGCUGGUUAUGUACUAGGCUAGGGGGCAGGGGAGCCAAUCAAUAGCAUGCUAGGUUAAGAAUAGGGUGAAAUAAACACAUGGACAUACUAAU